UUUUUUUAUUUGCAAGGAAAGAACCAAACAAUUCCAAUCACGAGGCAAUAAAUUCUGAGCUUUCAAUUAAGAAACCUCAACAAUAUAAUUAAAAAGAAGAAGAAACGGAAAAUAUUAAUAAUCUGUUCCUUUAACGAAAAAAAAAAAUUUCGAUAUAACAAUGAUUGUCCAAUAGGGGAAAAACUUGUUCACUCACAAAUUACUAAGAAUGAAAAAAAAUCAAAUUGACCUUUUCGCAAUCAGAAAAAAAAACACAAACAAAUAGAUGUGAUAAUGAAUAGAUAGAAAUUAGGAUGGAAAAAGGCACGCACUAUUAAAGAU